GAUGAAGAACGUAGCGAAAUGCGAUACUUGGUGUGAAUUGCAGAAUCCCGUGAACCAUCGAGUCUUUGAACGCAAGUUGCGCCCGAAGCCAUUAGGCCGAGGGCACGCCUGCCUGGGCGUCACACGUCGUUGCCCCCCCAUCUACUCCUUCGGGAUUGCGGGGGGCGGAUGAUGGCCUCCCGUGCGCCUCGUCGCGCGGUUGGCAUAAAUACCAAGUCCUCGACGACGCACGCCACGACAAUCGGUGGUUGCGAAACCUCGGUUGCCCGUCGUGUGCGGUCGUCGCGCAUCGAGGGCUCGAAAAAAUUGCCGGGCUCCGGCUCGGCUUUCAACGCGACCCCAGGUCAGGCGGGGUUACCCGCUGAAUUUAAGCAUAUCAAUAAGCGGAGGA
rnacentral:misc_RNA from 1 species